rnacentral:rRNA from 1 species
GCUUGUCUUAAUAUUAACCCAUGCAUGUGCCAGUUCAGUAUUGAACAGCGAAACUGCGAAUGGCUCAUUAAAACAGUUAUAGUUUAUUUGAUAAUUAAAGAUUACAUGGAUAACCGAGCUAAUUGUUGGGCUAAUACAUGCUUAAAAUUCCGUGUCCUGUGACCGGAACGUAUUUAUUAGAUAUUAGACCAAUCGCAGCAAUGUGAUUGAGAUGAAUCAAAGUAACUGAUCGAAUCGAAGCUUGCUUCGAUAAAUCAUCUAAGUUUCUGCCCUAUCAGCUCUCGAUGGUAGUGUAUUGGACUACCAUGGCAGUCACGGGUAACGGAGAAUUAGGGUUCGAUUCCGGAGAAGGAGCCUGAGAAACGGCUACUACAACUACGGUUCGGCAGCAGGGAAGAAAAUUGGCCAAUCCUAAUUCAGGGAGCCAGUGACAAGAAAUAGCAAGCUGGGAAACUUAGUUUCUACGGCAUUGAAAUGAGAAAAGUGUAAAUCUCUUAGCGAGGAACAAUUGGAGGGCAAGUCAUGGUGCCAGCAGCCGCGGUAAUUCCAGCUCCAAUAGCGUAUAUUAAAGUUGUUGCAGUUAAAAAGCUCGUAGUUGAACUUCUGUUCAGGUUCAUUUCGACUCGUCGAGUGAAACUGGACAUACGUUUGCAAACUAAAAUCGGCCUUCACUGGUUCGACUUAGGGAGUAAACAUUUUACUGUGAAAAAAUUAGAGUGUUCCAGGCAGGUUUUAGCCCGAAUACAUUAGCAUGGAAUAAUGGAAUAGGACUAAGUCCAUUUUAUUGGUUCUUGGAUUUGGUAAUGAUUA